rnacentral:tRNA from 2 species
GCGGAUGUGUCGUAAUUGGUAGCCGAGCCAGACUUAGGAUCUGGUGCCGAAAGGCGUAAGGGUUCGAGUCCCUUCAUCCGCA